CAGCAGCCACGGGAAUACGAAGGGUGCAAGCGUUACUCGGAAUUACUGGGCGUAAAGCGUGCGUAGGUGGUGGUUUAAGUCCGUUGUGAAAGCCCUGGGCUCAACCUGGGAAUUGCAGUGGAUACUGGGUCACUAGAGUGUGGUAGAGGAUAGUGGAAUUUCCGGUGUAGCAGUGAAAUGCGUAGAGAUCGGAAGGAACAUCUGUGGCGAAGGCGACUAUCUGGGCCAACACUGACACUGAGGCGCGAAAGCGUGGGGAGCGAACAGGAUUAGAUACCCCCGUAGUCCCUGUCUCUUAUAA
rnacentral:rRNA from 1 species